rnacentral:rRNA from 1 species
UACGUAGGUGGCGAGCGUUGUCCGGAUUUACUGGGCGUAAAGGGCGUGCAGGCGGUUUGUUAAGUGCAGGGUGAAAGCUCCCGGCUCAACUGGGAGAGGUCCUUGCAUACUGGCGAACUCGAGGGAGGCAGAGGAAAGUGGAAUUCCCGGUGUAGUGGUGAUAUGCGUAGAUAUCGGGAGGAAUACCAGUGGCGAAGGCGGCUACCUGGACCAGCACUGACACUGAGGCACGAAAGCGUGGGGAGCAAACAGG